rnacentral:tRNA from 1 species
GCCUGGGUGGCUCAGUGGGUUAAGCACCUGACUUUGGCUCAGGUCAUGAUCUCGCAGUUCGUGGGUUUGAGCCCCGCAUCGGGCU